GAUGAACGCUGGCGGCGUGCCUAAUACAUGCAAGUCGAGCGAACGGACGAGAAGCUUGCUUCUCUGAUGUUAGCGGCGGACGGGUGCGUCACACGUGGAUAACCUACCUAUAAGACUGGGAUAACUUCGCGAAACCGUAGCUAAUACCGGAUAAUAUUUUGAACCUCAUUGUUCACAAGUGAAAGACGGUCUUGCUGUCACUUAUAGAUGGAUCCGCGCUGCAUUAGUUAGUUGGUAAGGUAACGGCUUACCAAGGCAACGAUGCAUACCCGACCUGAGAGGGUGAUCGGCCAGACUGGAACUGAGACACGGUCCAGACUCCUACGGGAGGACGCAGUAGGGAAUCUUACGCAAUGGGGGAAAGCCGGACAGUGCAACGCCGCGUGAGGGAUGAAGGUCCUCGGACCGGAAAGCGCUGUUAGCAGGGAAGAACAUAUGUGUAAGUAACUGUGCACAUCUUGACGGUACCUAAUCAGAAAGCCACGGCUAACUACGUG
rnacentral:rRNA from 1 species